ensembl:lncRNA
AUGGACGAUGACAUCGUCUAUCGGCCCAAUCCUACUCUAGAUUUAAUACUGUCACAUGGAGUUGAUGUUGAUGGUGUUGAAAUUAUGCAGCCAAGCGAUAUCUCAGAUCAUUAUCUAGUUUUGUGCAAACUUCAUGUAGCUAAAACUGUAAAUUCUACUCCUUGUUACAAGUAUGGUAGAACCAUAUCCCAAUUCCUCAGCAUAUCCAAUACCUCAGAACAACUUGAUGAUGUAACAGAAACUAUGGACUCUGUCUUUUCUAGCAUUUUAGAUGCUUGGCAGGAAAGUACCCUGUCCUAUGGAAAAGCAUUAAAAACUACUAGAUCUGAUUGCUUUUCGUCUCUUUUAGAAGAAAACAAACAUAACCCCAGAUAUUUAUUCAAUACAGUGGCUAAAUUAACGAAAAAUAAAGCAUCAACAGGUGUUGACAUUUCCAAUAUUGAUACUAUUAGAGAUAAAUUGCAUACUGCAGCCAUCAGCUACAGUAUCGCAGCAGAUAAAGAGGUGCUUCCAGAAGUCAUGGAUCCUCUUCUGACUAUUAUUAAUUCAUCAUUGUCAUGAUAUGUCCAAAACCUUCAAACUGGCUGUUAUUAAGCAUCUCAUCAAAAAACCACAACUUGACCCCAAAGAACUAGUUAAUUACAGUUUGUAGCAGUGAAUGAAGAAGUAUCCUAUCGAUCACAAGUGCAGUAUGGAGUACCUCAAGGCUCAGUACUAGGGCCGUUACUUUUCACGCUUUACAUGUUACCCUUGGGAAAUAUCAUCAGGAAACACGAUGUUAGCUUUAACUAUUAUGCUCUAUAUUUCUUUGUAACAUACCAAUUUGAAAAACUAACAGAAUGCAUAGUCAAUAUAAAAAACUGGAUGACAAGUAAGUUCUUACUGCUAAAUUCUGAAAAAAACAGGGGGGUUAAUUAUCGGACCUAUACCUCCGCAUGUAAUAACCUAGAACACUGUCUAACACUUGAUGGCUGCUCUGUCAGGUCUCCGUAAUCAGUUAGGAACCUAGGUGUGAUAUUUGAUAGUAAUCUUUCCUUUCCUUCUCAAAAAUAUAUCUAAAUUACUACCUAUGCUCUCAAUGUCAAAUGCAGAAACGUUAAUUCAUCUGUUCAUAACCUCAAGGUUAGAUUAUUGUAAUGCUUUAUUGGUUGAUUGUUCUGCAUGCUUAAUAAACAAACUCCAGCUAGUCCAAAAUGCAACAAUUAGAGUUCUUACUAGAACCAGGAAUUAUGACCAUAUUAGCCCUGUUUGUCAACUCUGCACUGGCUCCCUAUUAAACAAUGUAUAGAUUUUAAAAUCUUGCUUAUUACUUAUAAAGCCCUGAAUGGUUUAGCACCUCAGUAUUUGAACAAGCUCUUAUUGCAUUAUAGUCCUCCACGUCUCCUGUGUUCUCAAAACUCUGGCAAUCUGAUAAUACCUAGAAUGUCAAAAUCAACUGCGGGCAGCAGAUCCUUUUCCUAUUUAGCGCCCAAACUCUGGAAUAACCCACCUAACAUUGUUCAGGAGGCAGACACACUCUGUCAGUUUAAGUCUAGAUCAAAGACCCAUCACUUUAAUCUUGCAUACACAUAACACACUAACACAUUUCUAAUAAUGCACAUUAGAUAACACAUUUCUAAUAAUGCUGCAUUAUUUAUGACAACUGGAACUGGGAACACCAGAUCCAGUCUGUAUCCAGAUCAGAUGGUCACUGCAGUCACCUGGAUCCAGUACGUAUCCAGCCCAGAUGGUGGAUCAGCACCUAGAGAUGACCUUGACAGCCCUGAAUGUCAGCGGAAAUCAGGACAACUAGAUGACCCCCAGAGACAGAUCCCCAAUGAAGACCUUGUCUCCUAGAUGGCCACCGGGACAAGACCACAGGAACCAGUUAAGUCCUCUGCAAAAUGUAAGUUUGCUGCAGCCUGGAAUUGAACUGCUUGUUUCGUCUGGCCAGAGGAGAACUGGCGCCCCGACUGAGCCUGGUUUCUUCUAAGGUUUUUUCUCCAUUCUAUCAUCGAUGGAGUUUUGGUUCCUUGCCGCUGUCGCCUCUGGCUUGCUUAGUUGGGGACACUUAAUUUCCAGUGAUAUCGUCAACUUUGAUUGCACAGAUUUAAACUGAAGUGAGCUGGAUGAUGACAUCAAUGAAUUAAAAGAAGCGACACCUGCAGUAAGUAAGACCCCAGACCCCAACAUGUUGUGUGUGUGUGUGUGUUUGUACGAAUGAAUGACAAUAGUGUGUGCGCUUUUCUUGAGGACCACUGUUCUGACCUGAAGUCUGUAGAGCCAGUAUCCGCUCAGCUAUAUAAACACUGACUCACAAUUACAUUACAGCUUGUGUGUAUGAGCGUGUAUCUGAGUGUGUGGUCCAUGGCCCUGUACACCUUCCCCAAUGACAGAAAAAUUGUCCUCUUUGCCAAGUUACAUUAGUGUCAGUGCAAAGAGGAGGUGAGGUAAAGCAUGUGUAAUCACAGAUUCAUUGUGAGUGUUUGUGUGUGUAGGUGUGUGAUGGAGAAAGAUGAAAUACUUUACACAAGACAGCAUCAGGAAAAUUACCACCAAAUCCUGCCUCUCUACAUUCAAGGAGGACUGUAUCUGGAGAAAUCUGUUAACAUUCCCAUUCAUCUCAAUAGCAGUUUCUGGCUGGCACAGGACCCCAUGGAAGUAACCAAUUGGCAAGUUGCCAUCUUUUCUUCAGGUCAAUCACCUGAGCUGUAAAUGCCAUUUGACUAAUCAUUCUUGAGUUGAUUGGAUGAUGGCACCACAAGAGUGAGCACCGUCCAAAAACUAGUGAGUAUCCCAUACUUUUUCCAUACUAGCUUUAUUGUUCCAAGUUUGGGAACUGUAGGAGUCUCUUAUACUCACCCAGGCUGCAUUUAUUGAAUCAAAACUUCAAAUUCAAAACAGUACUGUAAAAUAUAUCUAUCAUGAAAUAUUUGCAAUUUAUAUGUUUGCCUUUAAAGGAUGCCUUUACUCCCAGCAAGAUGUAGUUACAGCAUCUAGCAGCACAGUCUAACUGCUCAUGCUAACUAGCCAGCCCUGUUCUUUGUGAUCCUAAGAAAUAAAUACACUGUCUAUCAUCUAUCACACACAUACACAAUCUUAGAUAAAAGCAAGUGGUGUAUUUAGAAUGGGUGAAAAGCAAGAUGCACUCAUGUGAAAAAGUGCCAUUCAAUGACACUUUCAAUUAACUGUGUGUGUGUUUUAUUUUGAACUGGAUGGUGUUCGAAUUUACACUUGGCAAUGAAAUGACACCAUGUGUCUGAUUUUAUCACAUCUUAGUCCUGAACAGUCACAUAUAUCACAGAUCUGACAAUUUUCUCAAAAUGAAAGAAGGAGAGUCAGAGAGCUGCGCUGACUGCGUAAAUUACUUUUUUAGCACAAAGUACAGAAAGAUAUGUGGCACAGACACCGCAGACUUAUUUUCAUUAAUGUUUCUUGGGGUUGAUACAGAAACAA